rnacentral:lncRNA from 1 species
GGAACAGCUGAAUGCCUAAUAUCUCUUCUUUGUAAAUUUCUGACCCACUGAAGAUAAGCAGACUUUUAUUCAAGAUCCAAACCCCUGUUUUAAUGAGAUCUUAAAAAUGCUUUCACUUUGGCUUUUUCUCUCACCAGCUUUGUCUGAAUUUCCUGGCAACUUUGCAUAAGAGAGUUCUGGACUUGGAUAAAAUACAUCAGCAUUAUUUGGCAGAAGAUUAGCACCCUACCCAGAACAUGAAGAGUACAUUGUGACCUGGUAUAGAGGACAGACCAAGGCAUAAUUGUAUCUAUUCACUGAGCUUUGGAUUAGAGCCAUGGUGAAGAACUCAUCACAAAAUCACUGUAUACCUGAAUUUUUUUAUUUGUCUUCUUUGGGUACAAGAGCAC